rnacentral:rRNA from 1 species
UACCAGCACCCCGAGUGGUCGGGACGAUUAUUGGGCCUAAAGCAUCCGUAGCCGGUCAUGCAAGUCUUCCGUUAAAUCCAGCCGCUCAACGGUUGGGCUGCGGAGGAUACUACGUGGCUAGGAGGCGGGAGAGGCAAGCGGUACUCGAGUGGGUAGGGGUAAAAUCCGUUUGAUCCGAUUGAAGACCACCAGUGGCGAAAGGCGGCUUGCCAGAA